rnacentral:misc_RNA from 1 species
GAUGAAGAACGUAGCGAAAUGCGAUGCUUGGUGUGAAUUGCAGAAUCCCGUGAACCAUCGAGUCUUUGAACGCAAGUUGCGCCCGAAGCCAUUAGGCCGAGGGCACGCCUGCCUGGGCGUCACACGUCGUUGCCCCCCCAUCUACUCCUUCGGGAUUGCGGGGGGCGGAUGAUGGCCUCCCGUGCGCCUCGUCGCGCGGUUGGCAUAAAUGCCAAGUCCUCGGCGACGCACGCCACGACAAUCGGUGGUUGCGAAACCUCGGUUGCCCGUCGUGUGCGGUCGUCGCGCAUCGAGGGCUCGAAAAAAUUGUCGGGCUCCGGCUCGGCUUUCAACGCGACCCCAGGUCAGGCGGGGUUACCCGCUGAAUUUAAGCAUAUCAAUAAGCGGAGGA